AUUUUUUUUUUUUUUGUGUUUUUAGAGGCAGUCAGUCGAUUUCGUACUUCGGAAAUGUUCUUGGAAACAGGUUUUAUGAUUUUUUCUGAAAAAGUGAAAAAGUCACUUUUUCGAAUUUUUUCGCAUAUCGCCGGUCAAGACAUUUUUCAAAAAAUUCGAAAUUCAAAUUUUUUUUUUUUUUUUUUGUGUGUUUCUAGAGGCAGUCAGUCGAUUUCGUACUUCGGAAAUGUUCUUGGAAACAGGUUUUAUGAUUUUUUCUGAAAAAGUGAAAAAGUCACUUUUUC